UAGUCCACGCCGUAAACGAUGUGUGCUAGAUGUCGGGUCCAUAGGAUUCGGUGUCGCAGCUAACGCACUAAGCACACCGCCUGGGGAGUACGGUCGCAAGAUUAAAACUCAAAGGAAUUGACGGGGACCCGCACAAGCGGUGGAGCAUGUUCUUUAAUUCGACGCAACGCGAAGAACCUUACCUACACUUGACAUACUCGUCGGGGAUUUCAGAGAUGAUUUCCUUCGGUUCGGCCGGACGAUGUACAGGUGCUGCACGGCUGUCGUCAGCUCGUGUCGUGAGAUGUUUGGUUAAGUCCAGCAACGAGCGCAACCCCUAUCGUAUGCUACCAGCAUUUAGUUGGGGACUCAUGCGAGACUGCCGGUGUUAAGCCGGAGGAAGGUGGGGACGACGUCAAGUCAUCAUGGCCCUUACGUGUAGGGCUAGAAACGUGUUACAGUGGCGACUACAAUCGGCAGCGAACCCGCGAGGGUAAGCGAAUCUGAAAAAGUCGUCUCAGUUCGAAUUG
rnacentral:rRNA from 1 species